AUUUUUAAGCCCAGCAAGACCUAACCCAAUACCCUUUCUUCUUUAAACCCUUACACCCCACCCCUAGGGUCUGCUUCUAGAACCUUAGACUAGAACACAAAAAAAAAACUAGCUGAACUUUAAGAACCCCAGGGGCGCCCAUCGUCUUCUUCGAGAGGCUAGCUGAACCAUAGUAAGAGAGACCCAAAAAGACUCCAAGCCAUCAGAAGCCUGAACACGACCAAACUCGCCAGAAAAGAGAUCAGCUCCCAUAUCCUCCUCUCAUCAAGCAAACGACCACCCAUCGCCGCCACUCCGUCAACCAGCCUCCCGCGCAGCAGCAAGUCCGGCGACAAACCAACAGCUUUCCACCUCUGGCCCUUCCAAAAACCAACGAAGAACAACCAGGUAAACAUCGACCAACUAACCCACCAGCAACCCUGCCACCGCCGUUCCUCUGCUGUCAACCAGCAGCAUCCGCAAGCUGCGAAAGAAAAACAAAAAAACUCAAGAGAGUUUGCUGUUAGUGUUCAUUCUUGAAUUCAUAGAAAAACAAGUUUCGUCAUGAUCUAGAAAGAAAAUAAUGUAUAUCAUCCUUUUAAGAAUUACAAAUAGCUUAAGUCUCCUAACAUCUGAUAACAAAGUGAGAACGAGAGGAUGGGUUUGGACUAGAGUGUCCCAGUUAUCCUUAGACUCACGAAGGCAUUCUCGGUUUCGAGCUUGGGGGGCGUCCGUACGAGGUUUCCGGUCCAGGUUCGUAGGCUUGAAGCAACUACUGAUGUGCACUUGAUUUGGAGUUUUACUAUUCAAUAUAAAAGAGGGACUCAUCUAAGGUUCAAUCUUUCUCUUUCCUUUGUUUUUUUUGGGUUUAUCUCCAUGAGUUGUUUGCGUUUGUUUACUGUUCAUGCUUGUUCAUGCUUCAAUGGUUGUUUUGUGAACUACUUGCAAAUUUUGGCUUCAGAUUCCUUUGAGUCUUGUUUUGUUUGGAACUUUAAUUAUCAACUAUUUUGUAUUAAAGCUUAAGUUGAAUGGAGACAUUAAGUGGGGUUGGGGAUAAUUGUGAUUAAGUGGUAUUGAUUUGCACGUCAUUUAGUAAAUAAAUUAAAUAAUAGACUAUAAGCUUGUAAAUAAAAUCGAAUAUUUAGGCAUGUGUUGAUUUUUAUUAAUUUCGUUUAUUUACUUGCCAAAAAUCAGUAGUAUACUUAGGUUUGCUAACACGGGUAGGCAAGCCUUAGGAUUUUGUUAGUUUCGAGGCGAGAUGUCGUUCCCUUAGUUAAAUUUACCCGGGGAAUGUCCCGAGAGAUUUGUAUAUAUUUUAUUCCGAGGAAUGCCCCGUAGAACUUUGUAAUGAGAAGUCAAAAGUAGAACUUGUAGUGUUUUAUUAUUAUUUUCUAUUUUCUUUUAUUAGGUGGGGACGAUCUCGAGCCUCAUGUGUGUUUAUUUUAUUUUUUCGUGAUUUUACCUCAACUUGAAUAUUUUAGUAGCCAACUUGAUCGAGUUCGCAACCGUACUAGUUAUGGGACUUGGGGAAUGCCUAACACCUUCUCCCCGAGUCAAAUGAACCCCCUUACCCGAUUCUCUGGUGCGGACUUAGUUUUAGAGUCUGAAAUGUUUUAAAAGGAAAAGUCAUUUUAAAAGAAAAUCGGUGACCUGACAUACCGAAAUCAAAGUCAGGUGGUGAUUCUGAGUUAUUUUCCUUUUGAAUACAAAUUUUGUCACUUUCAAAAUUGAAAACCCUUUUCAAGCUUUUCACUAAAUCUUUUUAUUCUUUUUAAGAGGGUUUGGUGAGUUUGAUAAAAAGGGGGUAUGACAAGUGUAAAGGAUGAAGGGUGAUGCCGUGCAAUGUAUUGUGAGUGAUUGAUAAUGCACGAAGGGUGAUGCCAUGCCGUAUUCUGUGAGUGAUAAUGCACGAACACUACUGAAAAAUUGGUCUACGGUAACGCUUGAAAAACCGUUCCCACAGACUGUCAAACCGUUGCCAUAGGGAUAUUGGAACGGUUUACAGACCAUUACAUCAGCCCGCGUGCCCAUAGGUCUAUUGGAACGGUUCUUGCAAUGGUUUGCAUCGCCAUGACUAUAGAUACAUCUAUUUCAACGGUUUUUCCUUCCUCUGUUGGAACGAUUAUUUUUUCCAAUUGGAACGGUUUAAAACCGUUACUAUAUUGUUUAAACAAUGGUUCUUAACUAUUACCAUAUUAUUUAAAGCAACACUUAUGUAAGCUAUUGCUACAGUUACGUUGGAUAUAGCAACGAUUUAUUUAAGCUAUCGUAACAGUUAUAUUUGUAUUUGGAACGGUUUGUAGAUAAUUUUGGAACCGUUUACAGGACCUAUUGCAACGGUUUAUAUUGUCUACUAGAACGCCAUUUAUGUCCUAUUGCAGCGGUUCUGCUAGGCUAUUGUAUCAGUUCAUUUAAAACCAAAAUAUAGCACUUGUUAUAAAUAAAUAUUUAUACACAUAAUAAAUUAAUAACACCAAAAUUCAAAUACAUCAUAAAUGAAACUAUUAAUAAUAUAAAAUUAUCCAUCAAGCAAAUAAUAUCCAUAAAGCAAAUGUUCUACCCUAUGAGUGCAUAAGUUUAGUACAUUUCAAGAGAGUAAAUAAGUUUCAAAAAUGUUGGUAACAAAAGAUUCCUACAACAUUCAUCUAUGACAAUUCAAAAUUCAUCUCAAGUAAGGUCUAGUUCUUCAUCGUCUUCAUCAUCUAUUUCUUGUUCUACUCCAUCUACAAAAGAGAAUAAAUAAAGUUAUUACCCUUCAAGAGAAUCCGGUCUAAGAAUACUCACGAAUGUGGUUCCGAUGCACCACGACAAGCAGCUUUGGGGUGAAGACGUUAACGAAUUCAAACCAGAAAGGUUUAAAGAUGACAUGUACGGUGGAUGCAAACACAAAAUGGGAUUCUUGCCUUUUGGUUUUGGAGGAAGAAUGUGCAUUGUUUACAGUGAUUUUUAUGCCUUUUGGUUUUGUGUUUACUGCUGCUGUUCAAUGGCAUACACUGCAUUUUUACAUGUUUACAGUGAUUUCUUGCUGUUUGGUUCAAAAAACAGCACAAUAUCAACAAGAAGAGAAACAGAAGACAUGCAGCAGACAAAAACAGUACGGAUGGUCGAUUGUUUAGUUGAACAGCAGCUUGUUGUGCAGAGAAAGCUUCUACAGGUGAACGUGCACUGAACCUUAACAUGUCAGGAUCAAGUCACAAAUCUGGGUUCAGACGCUGAAGUCGUGCGAUGACGUUCAUUGUAAUAUUUUGUUCCAUAGCAUCCUUUUGUUCGUUCAACUUUUCAUGCAUUCUUUGUUGCAACAUCUCUUCCAUUUCCUCCAUUUUCUGUUGCAUCCUCUCAUCAGUAGCAUCUAAAGAAGAUCCAAGAUUCCCUUUUUGCCCUUUUAACACAGUCUUGGUAACCCCUCGUCCAUACAAUCUCACGCGACCUGGAUGUUCAGGUCCCAUGACUGAUGCAUAAGCGUCAACUGAAUGACUGCCAUCUUCACUUUCCCGAGUUGAUUGUAUUCUCUCCAUUUCAGCCUACAAACCAAAUGUGAGAGAAUAGAGUUUAAGUAACUAAAAUUAGAAAUUUCUAAUUUUAUAAUCACGACAAACUUUAAAUUAGAAAUUUCGUACAAUUUUACUAAUCGUAUUGUCGUAUGCGCUUUUGUAUACUCGGCUAAGUUUUCUUUUUCUUGUAGCCACAAAGAUGUCCUUACUUGAUAGAGUAUCUGAAGUAUCAGAGAUUUUCUUUUUUUUUUCCUAGCUACAUGAAAUCAGGUAUAACAAUCUUUCCAUAUAAAGUUAGCAACUUCAUAAUUUAAAAAUAAAUAAAUAAGAAAAAUAAAACAUCAAACCUCGCGAAUUAGAGCAAAAGGUGUUCUGCCAGCAGUGUGCGGACACUUCAACUUAUUUCGAUUUUCUGUAUUUGGUUUAGGACAUUUUCUCCAAAUAAACGAGUCAACAUUUGCUUAGCUACUUUUGAAUUCAUAACCCUCGUUACUCUUUUCCUCUUGUUUUCCCUUGUUUCAAAAAGGGACCAUAAAUCUGAACUAGUUUCAGUUCCUUAUUAUCACAUUAAAGCAUAGCCACUACAUUCAAUUUGCCUACUCAGGAAAAGUAAAGCUGUCUUGAACAACAUAAAGAUAGUCGAUUUUCAACCCCCCUAUAUUUCAUUAACUGUACUCUCCCGCCCCCAAAUGUAUUAAAUGAAGCAUGCCCUUUAAACUAAUGCAGAGAGUUGAGCUUUUUUAUCUCUAGUUUACAGAGUGUGAACAAAAGGUAUUCCGAAUGUAAUUACCUUGUGAGGAUCGGAGUUCCAAUAUUUAAGAAAAUCCUUAAAGUGAGAUUUCGAAACAUCUACUGUCCUAUUUUCCAUUCGAAGCUCAUCAUGCGCAUAGGCUGUGAAGUGGUUUGUCUUCAAUUGACUCUUAUACUUUCUCCAAGUACUACAAACUGAUUCAAAAACCCAUUGUUUCGCCUCGUCAGGAAUGUCAUAUUUUUCCUACAAAUUUAGUGCAAUUGGGUUAGUGUAAGAAAUAAGAAAUACCAUCCAUAUUUAUUGGACAUUGAGAACUUCAUACCUUGAUAUAUUUCCACAUAUCAUCUUUCGUGUGUAGUUUCCUCCAAUUAAAUACAUUAAGAGGACAAAAAGUCCCACUCCUUGCCAAUGUGCCGAGGAAGCUACCCAACUCUUUAACAACUUCUUUAGUAGGACCAACGGGUUGAUUAUACUCAUUUAGAAUGAUUAUUUUACGCUCCUUUCUACCAUGAACACUUGGCAUUUGAGUACGACCUCUUUUUCUUUUUGGCGAGGAGGGGCCUGCAAUAGUACAAAGCAAAGAUAAUCAUUAAUCACUAUUUUUAGUUAAUUUUAUGAUUAAAAUUUAUAUAUAUUUGCCUUGUUCCUCAAUUUGUUCAAUUGCUUCAUGAUUGGUAGAAUCAUCAGAUCGUUCAUGUACUCCCUGUGAUGCAGGAGUGAUGGAAUUCAUAUUCGCUUGUUGCACUUGUUCAUGUACUCCUUAUGCUGCUGAAGAGGUGGAAUUCCGUGGCACUUGCUGCACUUGUUCUUGCAAUUGAGAUCCUAAUUCCGAAUGUCGUUAUUCAUUUUCAUUUGACUUUAUAUUCAAGACUCUUUUUGUUGUCAACAACGAAACCUUUUGGUUUCGCAAAGAUGGAGGUAAUCCAACUUCUGAUUGUCAUUCUUCAUUUUCAGUUGACCUUGUAGCUUGAAAGGUUCUUUUUGUUGUCAACAACGAAACCCUUUGAUUUCGCAAUGAUGCAAGUAAUCCCGUUGGAAUGCGGUUGGAGAUUUU